GAUGAACGCUGGCGGCGUGCCUAAUACAUGCAAGUCGAGCGAACAGACGAGGAGCUUGCUCCUCUGACGUUAGCGGCGGACGGGUGAGUAACACGUGGAUAACCUACCUAUAAGACUGGGAUAACUUCGGGAAACCGGAGCUAAUGCCGCAUAAUAUAUUGAACCGCAUGGUUCAAUAGUGAAAGACGGUUUUGCUGUCACUUAUAGAUGGAUCCGCGCCGCAUUAGCUAGUUGGUAAGGUAACGGCUUACCAAGGCAACGAUGCGUAGCCGACCUGAGAGGGUGAUCGGCCACACUGGAACUGAGACACGGUCCAGACUCCUACGGGAGGCAGCAGUAGGGAAUCUUCCGCAAUGGGCGAAAGCCUGACGGAGCAACGCCGCGUGAGUGAUGAAGGUCUUCGGAUCGUAAAACUCUGUUAUUAGGGAAGAACAAAUGUGUAAGUAACUGUGCACGUCUUGACGGUACCUAAUCAGAAAGCCACGGCUAACUACGUG
rnacentral:rRNA from 1 species